rnacentral:lncRNA from 1 species
UUGAGGUAAAGAAUUAUAAUAACCUGCGGAGUCUCCCUUAAAUCUGAUUACCUCCUCUUUCUCUUUCUCUCUCAGAAUGGAGUACUCCAGAGCAAUGUUCUCCACUUCUCCCACGGCAUCAUGACACCCCUAAAUCUCUCUUCUAAUUAGGAUAUUCUUCUCUGGGCUCUCAGGUCCCUGGAGGUCUCAGGGACAUUGGUGCCAUGUUCAGUGUCUAAAAGCUUCAGAAGACACCAGCAGUGGAAGGUUGUAGGAUUCAUCAAUGGCUAGGGCUGGUUACAGGAAGAUAUUAUGAUGCUUUGAAGGUUGUCCUGGUCAUCUUUAUAAAAUAUAUGUCAAACACACCUGCUGAGACUUACAGAACGCUGACAGAGGUAACACUGAACAAUGCAGUUUACUUACAUCUUUUUCUGUUUGACACAAGACAGUUAUUGGAACCUGAAAGGAAGUAGCGUGUACGACUGGGGACACGUUUCCUGGAAGCACACCCCAUUAGAUAAAGUGUCGUAUACUCUUUGAUAAAGUAAGGCUCCUGGACGAGAUGUUUUACGGGUACCCUGAGCUCAGUGAAAUGCUUUCGGAAAGACACUCAGCAGAGUGGGCACCACAAGGUUAGGAGAAGCAGCUUCUGCUCGUCAUAACUUCGGCAAAUGUUUACACAUCAGUAAUGAAAAAUAUUCUCUUGGCGAUUUCAGGCUUGUUACUAUGGAUGUUGUUUGCUAACAUUGACUAUUUUUCCUAACUGCUUAUAGAAACUCCAGGCUGUCACCCAUCUGUUCUCUCAUCAGAGUAGUUUUGGGCCAGCAACUAUUUCAGACAUUUCUACAAUUUCAGAUGUCUCACUCUGCCUAUGACUGUAUGUUGUACUUGAGGACCGGACGCACAGAGUUCCGUGCAAAUAGCAAGCAUUCAGCUCCAACUCUCCUCCUUGUGGUAACAAUAUGAAAGAAAGAGAUAGUAUCGGAAUUAUUUUCGUUCAAUACAGCCAUUGUAAAAUGUGUGUAUAUUUUAAAA